AUUCCAGGGCAACCUCCAAAGCUACAGAGAAACCCUGUUUCAGAUAUCAAAAAAAAGAAAGAAAACUUCAGCAACCUUGUUCGUUGUCUUAUGAGUAAAUACCUGAUAGAUAGGUAUGAACAUAAUGACACCAGCAUCUUUGAUCAUGGUAACGCAUUUUCAUAGAAACUAUUUAUACAUUUUUCUUUAUAAUUAUCCACACAUAAGCUUAGUGUGUUCAUUUUUGAAAGGGUAUUUAAGUGAACAUUGUCUAGCUCAUAAGGCACCAUCAUUUCUCUUCAUACAAAGGUAAGAUAGACUGUAUAGUUAAUUUUCAGUUCUAUUUAUGGUACUGUUAAGUGGGUAAUAUCCUCUUUUAUUUUAUAUAUAUAUAUAUAUAUAUAUAUAUAUAUAUAUAUAUUGCUUGCCUAAGUGCUGAACUGGGGCUAUAGUUUCAUAGUUGUAGACUUGUUGGUACUGAUUAAUUUUGACAGUUAAGAUUUCAAUGUUUGUAUCUGCACAUUUGAUUUUUGCACAAAUGAUUUUUAAAAUAUCUUAAUAACUGCCAAACAUUAAAAGAAAAAUGUUGUACAAGUAAACAAUGUAGUAUUUAGUUAAAGUGGCCAUUACAUCUCUUUUAAAAAAGAAAUACAAACACUUGAGAUGGUGUAUGUCAUAUGCUGAGAAAAUUCUUUACAUUGGUGCCUAUACUGUAAUAGUUGCUUUUAAUUGAGUGUAUUUUGAAGUAAUGUUUUGGUUAGAUUUUUCAUCUGUUCUGUAAUUGAAACUCAAUUACACUAUGUUCUCCACAGUGCUCUACAAAUAAUUGUGUGACUUGGAUCAUGGAUUACAUUAGUAUUUUCGUAAAAAAUAAAAGCAACAAGUUCAUAAAUUGAUUACAUAAAACCUUAUCACAUAACUGCAUCCCAAAUGCAACUUGUAUUGCUUACUCAUUACAGUUUUAGUCCUGUAGACUGUUUCUAGGUGAAGCAUACUUCAGUGUUUGGGGAAUUUUAAAAAUAAAUAUUUAAAUUUCAU
rnacentral:lncRNA from 1 species